rnacentral:rRNA from 1 species
GGGGGAUGCAAGCGUUAUCCGGAUUUAUUGGGUUUAAAGGGUGCGUAGGCGGUCUGUUAAGUCAGCGGUGAAAUCUCUUCGCUCAACGAGGAAGUUGCCGUUGAUACUGGUGGGCUGGAAUACGGAUGCCGUGGGAGGAAUGUGUGGUGUAGCGGUGAAAUGCAUAGAUAUCACACAGAACACCGAUUGCGAAAGCAUCUCACGAAGCCGUGAUUGACGCUGAGGCACGAAAGUGUGGGGAUCAAA